GGAGGUUACUGCUAUCGGUGUUCGCCUAACCCAUGCAAGUCAUAUGUUCUUCGUGAACAUGGCGUACUGCUCAGUAACACGUGAAUAACCUGCCCUUGGGACCGGCAUAACCCCGGGAAACUGGGGAUAAUUCCGGAUACCGCAUAUAUGCUGGAAUGCUUUAUGCGUGAAAUGGAUUCGUCUGCCCAAGGAUGGAUCUGCGGCCUAUCAGGUAGUAGUGGGUGUAAUGUACCUACUACCCUACAACGGGUACGGGUUGUGAAAGCAAAAGCCCGGAAAUGGAUUCUGAAACAUGAAUCCAGGCCCUACGGGGCGCACCAGGCGCGAAAACUUUACAAUGCGGAAAACCGUGAUAAGGGGACACCGAGUGCCAGCAACAUUUGUUGGCUGUCCAGGUGUGUAAACUACACCUGUUAGCAAGGGCCGGGCAAGACCGGUGC
rnacentral:rRNA from 1 species